CAAAACUUUCAUUUAGAAACCAGUAAAAUACGAUUGAUAGUUUUGCUUCCCCUGUGUAUGAGGAAGAGUUAACAAUUUCAGGACAGUAAAAACUGUUUCUAACUGAGACUGCAGCCCUUUCAGACUGAAUGUUCUUCCUUGACAGGUAUUUGGAUGGGAGGACUUAAAGAGGCUUCCAAGCAGUAAUUUGGAGGAAUUAACUCUGAAGAGGGAAGAUCACGAUGGAUACCCGAGCUCUUUUCAGUGUCCUUUCCUGCCCUAUAGAAUAUGGCUUCUUUUCCCACCUUGCAUAUAUGUGCCUGCAAUUCCCAUCUUACACGUUCCCAGAUGCCUGUUUUGAGUGCAAUUUCUGCUUGGCAGUGAACUGCUAUUUUUCCUGCUUCACCUCCCAUCCCCCAGCUCAUGUUCUGAGCAGCUGUGAGGUGGGUUGAUCCUUCCUGGAAAAAUAUCUAGCUGUUGGUCUGUCCUAGGAAGAGAGUUAUCUAUCCAUGCUGCUCUGCAUCCCAUGCUUCUUUCUUCUUCCUUCCCUUCCCUUUCCCAUCUCAGCUUCCCUUUUUUACUCCCCUGCUGCUGCCUCAUAAAUUAUAGUUCUCUCAUUUUAAUCUCCACCCCACCCCACCCCUGCCUCCAUCUUAAUGGAUUGAAGACAUCAGAAUUAUGUAGCAAAUUAUUCUGAGCCCUAAGAAUUCUUUUGAGAAGUGGCUGGGAAUUUUUGACACAUUGGAGUCUUCUGGGGAUAUUUUAUGAGUGUACUGGGUUUGAUUAAAAUGGCAGCUCAUAUCAGGAUAGAAAGAAAGACUCCAGCACUGUCUGACAGUCACCUGGAAGGUAGAAAAGGAACUUGAAGCUAGAUUUACAACAUUUCAGGAAGUUUCUUCCAGGCUGCAUGCAUCUCCAUCUCCAAAAUAUGAGAAAUUUUAAAGAUGUCCACAUACCAGAAAAUGUUUACUUUACUAGCCUUUGCACAUCUGCGAUUAGUUUAUAAGGGUUUAAUUUUGAUCUUAGCUCCUUUUCCUACAGUAUGCUGAAGUAUUUGAGUUGGGUUGUUGUUUUUUGUUUUGUUUUGUGACACUGUCAGUGGCUAAAAUCUUAAUGCACAAAAUCUUUCUUAUAGGAGAUCUUAUCAUUUUGUAUUGCAGCAGAAAGGACAGACUUGGGUGCUACAAGAUCUUGCAAAGCUGCAAAACUACUGGACUAAGUUAGCGAAGUUUUUUGCUCAUAAGAAAGCCUUAGGUAAGAGUGACUGCAAAUGCUCCUCAUUAAUGGAUAUGUGUUCCUGCUUUUCUGGCUUACUCAGUCCCCUUACAGCACAGUCACAUACUCCUGGGUGCCACUUCUGGUCUAGGCUUUACCCUUUUUUCAAAAUGUUGAUUAAGUAUGGGACGGUGGCCAGCACACAGGGAAGCAGUGUAAUGGCUGAAAGUGGGAAACAGCCAAUUAAAGGAUCAAAGUCAGGGAAAUUAAGCCUUGAGAGGAAAGGGCACAAACUGGGCGGGUCUGGGAAGAGCAAGAUAAUAGUGGCCCUCAGGGGAGACACCAGAGUAGGAAACGGGACUAAAGUCAAAGAAGUGGAGGGCAAAACACAACUGCUCUCCCUUGAAGGGAUUGUCUAAGAUGGCAAAGAAGCAGCACAGGAAGAGAGAAAGGGAAUAACUGUAAUACAUACAAUGAUUUGUUUAGCUACUACACUCUCAGUGGGGCCUACCUAUAAGCAGGGCUGUGCAAGAAGACCUUCUAGUGCGGUUGGCAGCUGAGUAAGCUGCCAGUGAGCACUCCCACUUUGCUUCACAGCAGCCUCCUGGCACCACUGCACUGCUACUCUCUCAUCCUCCUUGCUGCCAGCGCCUGGGUCAUUCCUUCCCCUAGUUCCUCAAAAGCCCCUGCCAUCUGACCUCUACUCCUGGACUAAUUCUUACUAAUAGUCUUACAAACAGACCUGCUUUUGACAAGCUAGACCCUUGUUUUUAAUGCCUUGACUAUAUGUAGUUUGUGACCCUGUCUAACUAAACCAAGUAUACUUGGUGCAGCACAGCAGUAAGAACUUUCAUACUUCAAACUACACUUACUCUGCUUAAGUCAACACGAGGUGACUUGAACAGCACUGAAAUAGGACAUUCUAAAGAUAAAAUAAAAGUGUCCUUCCUGCUUGAGCCUUA